GACGAACGCUGGCGGCGUGCCUAACACAUGCAAGUCGAACGGAAGUAAGUGCUUCGGUAUUUACUUUAGUGGCGAACGGGUGAGUAACGCGUGAGGAACCUGCCUUUCAGUGGGGGACAACAGUUGGAAACGACUGCUAAUACCGCAUGACGCUUCUUAGGGGCAUCCCUGAGAAGUCAAAGCUUUAUGUGCUGAAAGAUGGCCUCGCGUCUGAUUAGCUAGUUGGUGGGGUAACGGCCCACCAAGGCGACGAUCGGUAGCCGGACUGAGAGGUUGAACGGCCACAUUGGGACUGAGACACGGCCCAG
rnacentral:rRNA from 1 species